UAGUAUGGUGAUGUUUUUUCACCCUACUCUUGAUGUCUAUGAAUGAAUGAAGGUGCGCAUGUUAAACGAUAGGCCUGUUCGGUUGUUCACACGUCAUGUAGCAUGUGUGUGCCUAGGUUGAAGUGUGUGUGUGCAUGUGUAUUGUUGUAAAAGAUAGGUUAGUUAGGAUUGAUCAUUAUCCUCUAUAGAGUGUUGUAUAGCUUGAAUGAGGAUCAAUCCUACUAACAACAUGUAACUCUUUGAUCAAUUUAACACGCACGUGUCCCUGCCAAGAGGCAUACGCUUCCACACAUACAGUUUUAUGUAGUAAUAGAUCAUUGAUGGCGC
rnacentral:lncRNA from 1 species